rnacentral:lncRNA from 1 species
AGCCAUUGAACCUUGGCAUAAAGUCCACACGGUGCCAUUUUGCUUUAAAAAUAAAACCAAAAAAACUUUCCUUCAAAAACGUUUCUGCUUCAUUUUUUCCUUUUUCUUUUAAAAAACAAAACAGAGGGGAAAGGGGGAAAUUUUCUCUGCUAGGGAUUCAACCCUAGCGCCCCCACGCCGCCGCCGUCAAAGCUCCGCCGCCGACCCUGAUUCAGGCAGCAAACUUCGCAGGUAAGUAACUCCUCCUCUCUUUUUUGUUAUUUUGUUUAUUUUAAAAAGAAAAUGACCCUGAAAAUAAGAAACAAGAACACAAUAAAAAGAGAACGAAAAGACAAUCACCUUCCAAGUCAAUUGUUGUAUUCUUAUUUUUCUUUUUUGUAUAUUGUUUUACACUGAUUUUUUCCACUAUUUCUUGUUUCAAUCUAAAACAAAAUCCUAUUAGCUCCUUUUUCUUGUUUUUUUCGUCAUCCCCCCCGCCUCAACUAUUGUUGCGCCAUACCCUAUUUAUUUGCUAUUUCAAUCUGUUUUUUACAGGUGCCGAGGUCGUGGAAGGGGCGUGCGACGUGUGCAAAAGCUGCUGAACGUGGGGCGAUUGCUACGGCACUGAAGAAGAAAAAAAACCGCUGCUAGAGUUUCUGUUACCUUAGGCCAAUUGGGCCUGGUAAUUAGGUUAGAAUUUGGGCCUUAUUGGGCCGAAUUAUUUGGGCUGCAUAAAUGAUUUUUUAAACAGGCUAAAAUUGGCCUAUUACACUCAUUAAUUUCUUCCAAAAUGUUAGGACAUGCGCGGCUUUGGAAUAUGCUUUAUCAACCAGAAGCCUAGGGCAGUGCACUAAAGCUGUAUAUUCCUCUAUUGUAGGCACAAAAUCUAUAUUCCCAAAAGUAAAAAAGCUAUAUGCAGGAUUCCAAUAUUGAGCAAGAGCGCGAAACAGUCGUUCAUCCACCUUGAUAUUAAGUAGAUGUGGCAAGUCCCCAUAAUUAGAGUAGAACAAUUGCUUGGUUUCAUCAUCCCACCGAUCCCAAAUCUCACUCAACUCUUGAAGGCUAUUUUGCGUCACACUAAUACGAGUGUAGUCCCAAAGCUCUGACACAUAAUUCUUAGCUAGACUGUCUCCCUUUUCCAAUUGCACUUUCUCUGACCAUAUACGGACAAUGGCAUUGUCUUCCACUUUAUCAAGAAAAUCGUUUGCCAUGAUAAUUUUCUAAUUUGGUAACUGAACUCAAAUCGACACUCCUUGAAAUAUGUAAUGACAUGCAACAUAUCAACAAAACGAAAACAAGUCAGUAUAACACCACAACAAUUCAAAGCAAGUAUAAGAAAACCAAG